rnacentral:rRNA from 1 species
UACGAAGGGGGCUAGCGUUGCUCGGAAUCACUGGGCGUAAAGGGCGCGUAGGCGGAUUUGCAAGUCCGGGGUGAAAUCCCACAGCUCAACCGUGGAACUGCUCGGUAUACUGCCUGUCUUGUGCAACCUAGGGGCGAGCGGAACAGAUGGUGGAGCGGUGAAAUGCGUAGAUAUCAUCUGGAACGCCAAUGGUGAAAACAGCUCGCUGGGGGUUUGCAGACGCUGAGACACGAAAGCCAGGGGAGCGAACGGG